rnacentral:rRNA from 1 species
UACGGAGGACCCAAGCGUUACCCGGAAUUACUGGGCGUAAAGAGUUGCGUAGGCGGCUUGUUAAGUCUUAGCUUAAAUCUCAAGGCUCAACCUUGAGGCUGGUUAAGAUACUGGCGAGCUAGAGGAAGGUAGAGGCAAGCGGAAUUAGUAGUGUAGGGGUGAAAUCCGUAGAUACUACUAGGAACACCAGUGGCGUAAGCGGCUUGCUGGACCUUUCCUGACGCUGAGGCACGAAAGCGUAGGUAGCGAACCGG